rnacentral:lncRNA from 1 species
GUGUCAAGUACCCAGCUCGGGAUUUCAGCGUAUGUGAUUUUUCAAAUCGCUCUUGUUGAUUUAAGAAGAGAGAACAAAGCCUAGUGAAACCCAUGGCAGGCAGUUCAAAGGAAGAGCACCAUUCGGCUAAGGAUAUUUUCCAUAUUUGAGGAAGCCUUCUCCACAUUUGAGCAUGGUCCAUGGAUCAGUGAAGAUAUUAGUUCAAAGGGACUAGUCAGGAAGAGAGUUCAGCAUGCUAUACAUAGCACCGAGAUGAAAGUAGACAAGCCUGCUUAAAAUGAAAUAUGCCACCGAGUG